AGCUUUGCGCAGUGGCAGUAUCGUAGCCAAUGAGGUUUAUCCGAGGCGCGAUUAUUGCUAAUUGAAAACUUUUCCUAAAAUAAACAUAACUUAUUUAAAUGGGAUGCAUCA
rnacentral:snRNA from 1 species